rnacentral:lncRNA from 1 species
GUAAAAAGCGAGGACGUGACCGUUUUGGAAGCAUUGUUCUUUUCACUGUUAGUGAGGAGCGGUCAAGGAUGCGUAUUAAGAAAAUAACUAGAAGUGGCCGCAUGAUGUACCUCUCACCAAUGAGAUGCCUGUCAAGGGUAUACGUGGGUCUUUUGAUUACUCUUAGAAGAAAGGAAGCAUUGAGAGUAAGGAACAAAUGCCAAUGAUGACAACCCAAACACUAUGUAUUGUAAAUGAAGUGGACUUCGUGGUUUCUUUAUCCACCAAUAAAUUAAAAGAAAACUUACAGGAAAUGGACACAGCCCUGGAUAAAUGCAACUACUAAGAUUCAACCAAGAAGUAAAAAUCCUGAACACACCAAUACAACUAAUGGAUUUAAUCAGUAAUAAAAAGUCUCUCACCAAGAAACA